GACGAACGCUGGCGGCGUGCUUAACACAUGCAGGUCGAACGGAAAGGCCCUGCUUUUGUGGGGUGCUCGAGUGGCGAACGGGUGAGUAACACGUGAGUAACCUGCCCUUGACUUUGGGAUAACUUCAGGAAACUGGGGCUAAUACCGGAUAGGAGCUCCUGCUGCAUGGUGGGGGUUGGAAAGUUUCGGCGGUUGGGGAUGGACUCGCGGCUUAUCAGCUUGUUGGUGGGGUAGUGGCUUACCAAGGCUUUGACGGGUAGCCGGCCUGAGAGGGUGACCGGCCACAUUGGGACUGAGAUACGGCCCAGACUCCUACGGGAGGCAGCAGUGGGGAAUAUUGCACAAUGGGCGGAAGCCUGAUGCAGCAACGCCGCGUGCGGGAUGACGGCCUUCGGGUUGUAAACCGCUUUCGCCUGUGACAAAGCGUGAGUGACGGUAAUGGGGAAAGAAGCACCGGCGAACUACGU
rnacentral:rRNA from 1 species